CCUCAGUGGCCCCAGCUCCUCAGCACUCCCGGCUCUUGUCAGCCUGUGCCACCCUUGGUGCCUGCUCCUGUCCAAGCCCUGGGGCCUGAGCCUGGAGCUGCCCCCUGGAUCCCGCUGUGCACCUCUGCUGGGACCCAAGGCCAUUGGCGAGUUGUCUUCCGCCAUCCAGGCCCAGUGUAUUACACAGUGCUCCACAUGGUAAAAGCCCAACAUUUGUGUAUUACUUGGAGAAUCACGGAAGGUCAGACCCAAGAGGAAACUUAAGAGCACUGGUUCUGGGCUAAAACUUUCAGUACAAUGUUGAAAAGGAAUGGUGAGAGGGAACAUCCGUGCCUUGAACCUGAUUUUAAUGAGAAAAAAGUAAGAGAAUCCAAGACAUGAACAUCAGUAACAUUCCUAGGCUUGCCUCUGAGAUCAGAUUGUCUAACUGAGAACCGCAUGCACAGUUCUAGCCAAUGAGACACACAGGGUUUGCUCAUACCGAUGGUCUGCUGGGGAUCCAUGGGAACUCCUUACUUCUUCCUCCUUCCACUUGCCCUGACUGUGCGCAUGAUGAUUGGAAUUCCUGUAACCAUGUUGGGACAAUGAAGAAAAGGCCAAAAGGAUCUCAGGGAGAUAAUCCUAGACGUGGUUGAACUGAGAAACCAACACCAGCAACCAUCUGUUUCCUGACUUCAUUCUAUAUAAGAAAAACAAACUCCGGUUUGUAUAACACUGAAGUC
ensembl:lncRNA